UGACAGUACUCCUACGGGGAGGCAGCAGUGGGGGAAUAUUGCACAAUGGGCGCAAGCCUGAUGCAGCCAUGCCGCGUGUGUGAAGAAGGCCUUCGGGUUGUAAAGCACUUUCAGUCGUGAGGAAGGUAGUGUAGUUAAUAGCUGCAUUAUUUGACGUUUAGCGACAGAAGAAGCACCGGCUAACUCCGUGCCAGCAGCCGCGGUAAUACGGAGGGUGCGAGCGUUAAUCGGAAUUACUGGGCGUAAAGCGCAUGCAGGUGGUUUGUUUAAGUCAGAUGUGAAAGCCCGGGGCUCAACCUCGGAAUAGCAUUUGAAACUAGGCAGACUAGAGUACUGUAGAGGGGGGUAGGAAUUUCAGGUGUAGCGGUGAAAUGCGUAGAGAUCUGAAGGAAUACCGGUGGCGAAGGCGGCCCCCUGGACAGAUACUGACACUCAGAUGCGAAAGCGUGGGGAGCAAACAGGAUUAGAUACCCUGGUAG
rnacentral:rRNA from 1 species